UACGUAGGGUGCGAGCGUUGUUCGGAGUUACUGGGCGUAAAGGGUGUGUAGGCGGUUGUUUAAGUUUGGUGUGAAAUCUCCCGGCUCAACUGGGAGGGUGCGCCGAAUACUGAAUGACUUGGAGUGCGGGAGAGGAGAGUGGAAUUCCUGGUGUAGCGGUGAAAUGCGUAGAUAUCAGGAGGAACACCGGUGGUGUAGACGGCUCUCUGGACCGUAACUGACGCUGAGACACGAAAGCGUGGGUAGCAAACAGG
rnacentral:rRNA from 1 species